UACGUAGGGGGCAAGCGUUGUCCGGAAUCAUUGGGCGUAAAGAGCGUGUAGGCGGCCCGGUAAGUCCGCUGUGAAAGUCCAGGGCUCAACCCUGGGAUGCCGGUGGAUACUGUCGGGCUCGAGUCCGGAAGAGGAGUGUGGAAUUCCUGGUGUAGCGGUGAAAUGCGCAGAUAUCAGGAGGAACACCGGUGGCGAAGGCGGGUCUCUGGGCCUUACCUGACGCUGAGGAGCGAAAGCGUGGGGAGCGAACAGG
rnacentral:rRNA from 1 species